CCUACGGGUGGCUGCAGUGAGGGAUAUUGGUCAAUGGGGGAAACCCUGAACCAGCAACGCCGCGUGAGGGAAGACGGUUUUCGGAUUGUAAACCUCUGUCCUCUGUGAAGAUAAUGACGGUAGCAGAGGAGGAAGCCCCGGCUAACUACGUGCCAGCAGCCGCGGUAAUACGUAGGGGGCAAGCGUUAUCCGGAUUUACUGGGUGUAAAGGGAGCGUAGACGGCGCUGCAAGUCCGGAGUGAAAGCCCAUGGCUUAACCAUGGUACUGCUCGGGAAACUGUGGAGCUAGAGUGCGGGAGGGGCAGGCGGAAUUCCUAGGGUAGCGGUGAAAUGCGUAGAUAUUAGGAGGAACACCAGCGGCGAAGGCGGCCUACUGGACCGUAACUGACGUUGAGGCUCGAAGGCGUGGGGAGCAAACAGGAUUAGAUACCCCAGUAGUC
rnacentral:rRNA from 1 species